GGAGCAGAUAUCAAUCACCAAGAUUGUCGUGGCAACAGUCCCCUACACCUGGCUGUUAGUUAUUGGUCGAAGGCCGAAGUGGACUUGCAGAGCGAAUCAACAAGACGAGAGUACCACGCGCGUGUGGCCAUUGGUUGCAUGCUCAUCAGUAAGGGAGCCUACGUGGAUACAAAAAGCAAGAAGGGAUUCGAUCCCUUUCAGUUUGGUCUCUUUGAACUUCGCGAGAGCGUAAAAAGGUUUAUGAAACACAACCAACACCUUGUCAGAUGCAAGGACACAUCUCAUGCAGUGGACCCAGAUCUCUUUCGCCUUGUGUCGCCAUCGGCAUCGCCUAACAAAAGAGAAAGUUUCUUAUGGGUUAAGUGUGGUAUUUGCACGGUUCUCAGUCUCAGUUCACAUUUUUGACAUGUAAACACAAGCGGUCUGCAACAAGUGCAGCAGUCAAGGACGAUGUCCCAUUUGUCCAGCGGCCUCUAGUGACAAACACUUCACAGGACCUGAUGACUAAGUCAUCCACGUGUAGCCCAACCUGGAUGCUGCAUCUGAUUGGUUGAAACACUAUAACUGUUUCUCCAAAAGUUCUUCUAUCCCACGUGACACAGAAGUUGAUUACAGGAGCUGUUAGCUCCACUCAGUCAUCUGUAGGCAGCGUGCUGUCCCGCAAAUAGAAAGUGCGAUAAUGAUUGGAGUGAACUCGAAUGUUUGUAAGCAACAAGAGAUGGAGGCUACAAUACACUUUGAGGCUACAAUACACUAGUCUUGUUAUGUGUGGAGUGCUUGUGUCUGUGUUCAUGUCCUUCUUCCUCUUUCCUUCCUUGUCUAAACUACUAAGCAGGACUGAGAUAAUGUGAAGUAUGGUUAGUAGUAGUAAACGCCGAUGAUCUUCACAAGUAGUCUUGCUUGGCUAGACUGGGUUAAAAGUUUGUAUAUGAUUAAAUUAUUAUGUAAUAACAAAUACAGUUUUAGCCUAAAUAAAAUUACUGCUAAUAGAGAUGCUUUGAUCCACAUGUUUCUGUAACACAAAAAUAUCACUGUAUCCAAAAAAAAAAAUUGGAGAAUAAACGUGUAAUAAUAGUUUUGAGUUCCUAUAAGUUUUUUUUCGAUUUCCAGCUGUUAUUUGUUUUAUUCUCUAUUUAAUAAGUACAUAGCUUCACCACACUUUAUUCAUUCUUUCGAAAAAAAAUAAUAGCAGCAGGAACAACAACAACAACAACAACAA